CCUACGGGAGGCAGCAGUGAGGAAUAUUGGUCAAUGGGCUUACGCCUGAACCAGCCAAGUCGCGUGAGGGAAGACUGCCCUAUGGGUUGUAAACCUCUUUUGUCAGGGAGCAACGCCGGCUACGUGUAGCCUGACUGAGAGUACCUGCAGAAAAAGCAUCGGCAAACUCCGUGCCAGCAGCCGCGGUAAUACGGAGGAUGCAAGCGUUAUCCGGAUUGAUUGGGUUUAAAGGGUGCGUAGGCGGAAUGCCAAGUCAGCGGUAAAAUCGCGGGGCUCAACCUCGCUCCGCCGUUGAAACUGGCGUUCUUGAGUGGGCGAGAGGUAUGCGGAAUGCGUGGUGUAGCGGUGAAAUGCAUAGAUAUCACGCAGAACUCCGAUUGCGAAGGCAGCAUACCGGAGUCAAACUGACGCUGAAGCACGAAAGCGUGGGUAUCGAACAGGAUUAGAUACCCCUGUAGUC
rnacentral:rRNA from 1 species